AGCAGCCGCGGUAAUUCCAGCUCCAAUAGCGUAUAUUAAAGUUGUUGCAGUUAAAAAGCUCGUAGUUGAAUUUCGGGGUCAGUAGAUUGGUCGUGCCACUGGUAUGCACUGGUCUUACUGAUUCCUCCUUCUUGACGAUCUGUAAUGUCAUUAAUUUGGUGUUGCAGGGAAUCAGGACUGUUACUUUGAAAAAAUUAGAGUGUUUAAAGCAAGCUA
rnacentral:rRNA from 1 species